GCCGGGCGUGGUGACUCACGCCUGUAAUCCCAGCUCUUUGGGAGGCUGAGGCAGGUGGAUCACCUGAGGUCGGGAGUUCAAGACCAGCCUGACCAACAUGGAGAAACCCCGUCUCUA
ensembl:misc_RNA Metazoa_SRP Metazoan signal recognition particle RNA